GACAGAGGUGCCAAGCGUUAGGCGGAAUCACUGGGCUUAAAGCGUGUGUAGGCGGAUCGUUAAGUGCCUUGUGAAAUCCCACGGCUUAACCGUGGAACUGCUCGGCAUACUGGCGGUCUUGAGCAACCUAGGGGCGAGCGGAACAAAUGGUGGAGCGGUGAAAUGCGUAGAUAUCAUUUGGAACGCCAAUGGUGAAAACAGCUCGCUGGGGGUUUGCUGACGCUGAGACACGAAAGCCAGGGGAGCGAACGGG
rnacentral:rRNA from 1 species